rnacentral:rRNA from 1 species
GACGAACGCUGGCGGCGUGCUUAACACAUGCAAGUCGAACGGAAAGGCCCUGCUUUUGUGGGGUGCUCGAGUGGCGAACGGGUGAGUAACACGUGAGUAACCUGCCCUUGACUUUGGGAUAACUUCAGGAAACUGGGGCUAAUACCGGAUCGGAGCUCCUGCUGCAUGGUGGGGGUUGGAAAGUUUCGGCGGUUGGGGAUGGACUCGCGGCUUAUCAGCUUGUUGGUGGGGUAGUGGCUUACCAAGGCUUUGACGGGUAGCCGGCCUGAGCGGGUGACCGGCCACAUUGGGACUGAGAUACGGCCCAGACUCCUACGGGAGGCAGCAGUGGGGAAUAUUGCACAAUGGGCGGAAGCCUGAUGCGGCAACGCCGCGUGCGGGAUGACGGCCUUCGGGUUGUAAACCGCUUUCGCCUGUGACGAAGCGUGAGUGACGGUAAUGGGUAAAGAAGCACCGGCUAACUACGUG